rnacentral:rRNA from 1 species
GAUGAACGCUAGCUACAGGCUUAACACAUGCAAGUCGAGGGGAAACGAUAGAGAAAGCUUGCUUUUUCUAGGCGUCGACCGGCGCACGGGUGAGUAACGCGUAUCCAACCUGCCCACCACUUGGGGAUAACCUUGCGAAAGUAAGACUAAUACCCAAUGAUAUCUCUAGAAGACAUCUGAAAGGGAUUAAAGAUUUAUCGGUGAUGGAUGGGGAUGCGUCUGAUUAGCUUGUUGGCGGGGUAACGGCCCACCAAGGCGACGAUCAGUAGGGGUUCUGAGAGGAAGGUCCCCCACAUUGGAACUGAGACACGGUCCAAACUCCUACGGGAGGCAGCAGUGAGGAAUAUUGGUCAAUGGGCGAGAGCCUGAACCAGCCAAGUAGCGUGCAGGAUGACGGCCCUAUGGGUUGUAAACUGCUUUUAUAAGGGAAUAAAGUGAGUCUCGUGAGACUUUUUGCAUGUACCUUAUGAAUAAGGACCGGCUAAUUCCGUGCCAGCAGCCGCGGUAAUACGGAAGGUCCGGGCGUUAUCCGGAUUUAUUGGGUUUAAAGGGAGCGUAGGCCGGAGAUUAAGCGUGUUGUGAAAUGUAGAUGCUCAACAUCUGCACUGCAGCGCGAACUGGUUUCCUUGAGUACGCACAAAGUGGGCGGAAUUCGUGGUGUAGCGGUGAAAUGCUUAGAUAUCACGAAGAACUCCGAUUGCGAAGGCAGCUCACUGGAGCGCAACUGACGCUGAAGCUCGAAAGUGCGGGUAUCGAACAGGAUUAGAUACCCUGGUAGUCCGCACGGUAAACGAUGGAUGCCCGCUGUUGGUCUGAAUAGGUCAGCGGCCAAGCGAAAGCAUUAAGCAUCCCACCUGGGGAGUACGCCGGCAACGGUGAAACUCAAAUGAAUUGACG